UUCCAUUGGAUGUAGAAGCAAUCUGAGACAGCUACGCUACCAUGACAGAUGGGAUGGAUGGACAGAAGAACAGUGAAGAAUCUGGGAACAUCAAACAUCAGCACUUGCUGAAAGCGCUGGAUGCAUUCCCAUCACUUUCUCCCUCAUUCCUGUGAAGGAGGAGAAUGGAUAGCAUAUCCAGCCUUCAGGUGGCUGCUAAUAUGACAUGUACAACUUCAGACAUUUGUGUGAGCACCCAGAAUAACAGGAUAAAGUUGGCGACAACCUGAGGUCGUCUUGCCUAUGAACCACCUAACCACUGCCCUCCAGUUUCUAACAGUUUUUGCCACUGUGGUGCACAGAAGUGGGAUGGAAACAAAAUACAGAGGCAAUAUCUAUCAAAUCUUGGAGGCCAAGGAACUGCUGAACAC